GACUUCCUCCAAGGAUG
rnacentral:misc_RNA from 1 species